rfam:Trichobilharzia regenti genome assembly, scaffold: TRE_scaffold0043731
AUACUACUGAAGAGUCCCAAACUAGGACGAAAUAGCUAUCCAGUAC